rnacentral:rRNA from 1 species
UAUCUCUGUAGAGUCUGCAUAUCAAUAAGCGGAGGAAAAGAAACUAACAAGGAUUCCCCUAGUAACGGCGAGUGAAGCGGGAAGAGCUCAAAUUUGAAAUCUUCAAGGUUUGACCUUGACGAAUUGUAGUUUAAAGAAGUGUUUUCGGUUAGAGAGUUAGGUAAAAGUUCUUUGGAAUAGGACAUCAUAGAGGGUGAGAAUCCCGUAUUUGACCAUUAUUUUCUAGCUGUGUGAUACACUUUCAAAGAGUCGGAUUGUUUGGGAAUGCAGUCCAAAAUGGGUGGUAAAUUUCAUCUAAAGCUAAAUAUUGGCGAGAGACCGAUAGCGAACAAGUACCGUGAGGGAAAGAUGAAAAGAACUUUGAAAAGAGAGUUAAACAGUACGUGAAAUUGUCAAAAGGGAAGCGUUUGACACCAGUGUUGUUUUUCCGAAAAUCAAUUACGAAUGUUUUGUUUUUGAGGAGUUAUGACUUCAUCGGCUUGCUCCUUUCUUUACGAAACUUUCUUAAUGCACUUUUCGGUUAACAAGUCAACAUCAAUUUCUUUUGUUGUAAAAGGGUAUGAGGAAGGUGGCUUUCUUUUCGGAGAAAAUGUUUAUAGCCUUGCACCUCUGCAAUCGGAGAGAUUGAGGUCUGCAGCGUAGAUCCUUCGGGGUUAGAUACAUUUGUGCUAAGUUAUAGCUUUUCAUAGACAACUUGUUGACUAUGUUUAGUCUUGCAGCUUACUCGCUUAUGCUAUUUUACCUACGCUUAGGAUGUUGAGCGCAUGUCUCUCUCU